UACGGAGGGGGCUAGCGUUGUUCGGAAUUACUGGGCGUAAAGCGCACGUAGGCGGGUUCUUAAGUCAGGGGUGAAAUCCCGAGGCUCAACCUCGGAACUGCCUUUGAUACUGGGAAUCUUGAGUUCGGGAGAGGUGAGUGGAAUUGCGAGUGUAGAGGUGAAAUUCGUAGAUAUUCGCAAGAACACCAGUGGCGAAGGCGGCUCACUGGCCCGAUACUGACGCUGAGGUGCGAAAGCGUGGGGAGCAAACAGGG
rnacentral:rRNA from 1 species